CUCAGUUCGGAUCGGAGUCUGCAACCCGACUCCGUGAAGCUGGAUUCGCUAGUAAUCGCGCAUCAGCCAUGGCGCGGUGAAUACGUUCCCGGGCCUUGUACACACCGCCCGUCAAGCCAUGGAAGCCGGGAGUGCCUGAAGUGCGUGAGCGCAAGCAGCGCCCUAAGGUAAAACCGGUGACUGGGGCUAAGUCGUAACAAGGUACC
rnacentral:rRNA from 1 species